rnacentral:rRNA from 1 species
GACGAACGCUGGCGGCGUGCCUAAUACAUGCAAGUCGAGCGGACGAAUCGAAAGCUUGCUUUUGAUUCGUUAGCGGCGGACGGGUGAGUAACACGUGGGCAACCUGCCCUGUAGACGGGGAUAACACCGAGAAAUCGGUGCUAAUACCGGAUAACACGAAAUGUCGCAUGACGUUUCGUUGAAAGACGGAGCAAGCUGCCGCUACAGGGAGGGCCCGCGGCGCAUUAGCUAGUUGGUGAGGUAACGGCUCACCAAGGCGACGAUACGUAGCCGACCUGAGGGGGUGAUCGGCCACACGGGGACUGAGACACGGCCCAGACUCCUACGGGAGGCAGCAGUAGGGAAUCUUCCGCAAUGGACGAAAGUCUGACGGAGCAACGCCGCGUGAGCGAAGAAGGCCUUCGGGUCGUAAAGCUCUGUUGUUAGGGAAGAACAAGUAACGCAGUAACUGGCGUUACCGUGACGGUACCUAACGAGAAAGCCACGGCUAACUACGUG